AAUGGGAAUACCAGAAUGUGACUUUCAAUACUAGGAUGUUCCUGACUCCUUUCUUCAAGGGGGGAAAAACAAGCCUGAGGAUUUAAAUACUUUGCAGGAGAUUACUUGUGACAGCAUAGACUCUAGCUAGUUUUUUCAAGUCAUAGGUGCCCCAAAAGUGCAGUCACUGUUACGAGAAGUGCUUUUGUUUUCCUGGCAAGCACCAGAACAAAGGUGCUGACAAGGAACUGGCUAUGCUGGAACUACUGUCAUCGAGCUAGACGGAGGUGAAUCUGCGCUGUGGCCUUGGAGCUAAAGAUAAUCCAAGAAUGAGAUGGUAUGUUGGGUUCGUAUUCUUGAUGUAAAAUGAGACACU
rnacentral:lncRNA from 1 species